UCCAGCAGCCCUAUCACCCUGCAACUUACAACUGGCAGCCCACUGAAGCUCAGCAGGUGUGAGCCUGGUCAGUGCCUGGAUGGGAGACCUCCUGGGAAAAACUAAGGUUGCUGCUGGAA
rnacentral:rRNA from 1 species